rnacentral:rRNA from 1 species
AGAGCGAACGCUGGCGGCAGGCCUAAUACAUGCAAGUCGAACGGACCCUUCGGGGUUAGUGGCGGACGGGUGAGUAACACGUGGGAACGUGCCCUUUGGUUCGGAACAACUCAGGGAAACUUGAGCUAAUACCGAAUGUGCCCCCAUCCUUAAACAAGAUGGGCGGGAAAGAUUUAUCGCCAUUGGAGCGGCCCGCGUCUGAUUAGCUAGUUGGUGAGGUAAAGGCUCACCAAGGCGACGAUCAGUAGCUGGUCUGAGAGGAUGAUCAGCCACACUGGGACUGAGACACGGCCCAGACUCCUACGGGAGGCAGCAGUAGGGAAUCUUGCGCAAUGGGCGAAAGCCUGACGCAGCCAUGCCGCGUGAAUGAUGAAGGUCUUAGGAUUGUAAAAUUCUUUCAGCGGGGACGAUAAUGACGGUACCCGCAGAAGAAGCCCCGGCUAACUUCGUGCCAGCAGCCGC